GUGCGGCCACACAACCCCAUCCUGAGCGCGGAGGGCACCGUGAUUGGCGCCGUGACCAGCGGCUGCCCCUCGCCCUGCCUGAAGAAGAACGUGGCCAUGGGCUAUGUGCCCCCCGAGUACAGCCAGCCGGGCACCCAGCUCCUGGUGGAGGUGCGGCGGAAGCAGCAGGUGGCUGUGGUCAGCAAGAUGCCCUUCGUGCCCACAAACUACUACACCCUGAAGUGAGGAUGGCUGGGGGCGGGGCCCUCCACUGCAGGGCAUUCUACAAGGGCUAGUCAGGAAGCUGAGGCAGGACACGUGGGUAGGUGGCGAGGGUAUAGGCUAGUUCUGGUUGUGGGCGGGACACACCACCUAUACCCCCUCACCCUGUGCCACUUCAAGACCGAUUUCUUAGUGACGGACCAGCUCACCAAUGUCUUGUUUCUGCCCACGCUCCCGCGGGCCCACUCUUGCCUGCUGAGGGCUGAGAAGCAUCAGUCCCCGCAUUUCCUCUCUGCCGGGUGCUGCCUGUGCCUCAAAGGCUCACCUUUAGGAGGAUCGAGCUGCCCAGCCUACCUCACAGGGUUCUCACACUUCCAAGGACAUGACCUUGGGCAGUGCCAGCCACCUCCUCUGGUUUACUUCUCAUGAAUGCAAACUGCUGCCUCUCCCUGGGCAGCACUGAUUCCUGACUCGGAGGCUUGGCUCAGGAGGGCUGCUGCGCCCGUGUGCAAACUCGGGGAUGGCUGAGGGGCACAAGUUGGCCCAGCCUGCUGCCCAGCGGCAAGCCAGCCAGGCUCACCACUGUUCUGAGCCCAGGGCUGCUGUAGGGCAGGCUGGGCCUCCUCCUGGGCUUGCCUUCGCCUGGCCUGACCUGUGCCCCUGUGGCCUGUUACUGGACGCCACUGACUCCUAAAAAAUAAACGAGCUUCCUUCUUGCCAGA